UGGGGAAUCUUGCACAAUGGGGGAAACCCUGAUGCAGCGACGCCGCGUGAGCGAAGAAGGUUUUCGAAUCGUAAAGCUCUGUCCUAUGAGAAGAUAAUGACGGUAUCAUAGGAGGAAGCCCCGGCUAAAUACGUGCCAGCAGCCGCGGUAAUACGUAUGGGGCGAGCGUUGUCCGGAAUUAUUGGGCGUAAAGGGUACGUAGGCGGUCUAUUAAGUCAGGUGUGAAAGCGUGAGGCUUAACCUCAUUAAGCACUUGAAACUGAUAGACUGGAGUGAAAGAGAGGAAAGUGGAAUUCCUAGUGUAGCGGUGAAAUGCGUAGAUAUUAGGAGGAAUACCGGUGGCGAAGGCGACUUUCUGGACUUUUACUGACGCUCAGGUACGAAAGCGUGGGGAGCAAACAGG
rnacentral:rRNA from 1 species